AGCAGGCCUCCGAAGCCAGCAGUGGCAACCCACUUGGGUCCCUUUCAAUGCUGUGGAAGCGUUGUUCUUUCACUCUUCUCAAUAAAUCUUGCUGCUGCUCACUCUUUGGGUCUGCCCCGCUGUUAUGAGCUGUAACACUCACAGCCAGUGUCUGCAGUUUCACUCCUGAAGCCAGCAAGACCACAAACCCACAGGGCGGGACAAACAACUCCGGACAGGAGGAAUGAACAACUCUGGACGCGCCACUUCUAUGAACUUUUAUGAACUGUAACACUCACCGCAAAGGUCUGCAGCUUCACCCCUGAGGCCAGGGAGACCACGAACCCACCGGAAGGAAUGAACAACUCCAGACGCACUGCCUUUAAGAGCUGUAACACUUACCACGGAUGUCUGCAGCUUCACUCCUGAAGUCAGCGAGACCACAAACCCAACAGAAGGAAGAAACUCCCGACACAUCUGAACAUCUGAAGGAACAAACUCUGGACACACCAUCUUUAAGAACUGUAACACUCACCGUGAGGGUCAACCGCUUCAUUCUUGAAGUCAGCCAGACCAAGAACCCACCAAUUCCGGUACGUAAAAAAAGCUUGUGCCAGACUCUAUCUGAAUCAUGUUAUUGGACCAUGAGAGCAAGCAGCUGGAUCUCAUUCUGUCCAGGACUCCUGGAAACAGCAGCUCUAACAAAAUUGUCUUCAAUAAAUAAGUUUUUUUGCAUCACA
rnacentral:lncRNA from 10 species